GAUGAACGCUGGCGGCGUGCCUAAUACAUGCAAGUCGAGCGAACAGACGAGGAGCUUGCUCCUCUGACGUUAGCGGCGGACGGGUGAGUAACACGUGGAUAACCUACCUAUAAGACUGGGAUAACUUCGGGAAACCGGAGCUAAUACCGGAUAAUAUAUUGAACCGCAUGGUUCAAUAGUGAAAGACGGUUUUGCUGUCACUUAUAGAUGGAUCCGCGCCGCAUUAGCUAGUUGGUAAGGUAACGGCUUACCAAGGCGACGAUGCGUAGCCGACCUGAGAGGGUGAUCGGCCACACUGGAACUGAGACACGGUCCAGACUCCUACGGGAGGCAGCAGUAGGGAAUCUUCCGCAAUGGGCGAGAGCCUGACGGAGCAACGCCGCGUGCGUGAUGAAGGUCUUCGGAUCGUAAACCUCUGUUAUUAGGGAAGAACAAAUGUGUAAGUAACUAUGCACGUCUUGACGGUACCUAAUCAGAAAGCCACGGCUAACUACGUG
rnacentral:rRNA from 1 species